rnacentral:rRNA from 1 species
UACAGAGGGUGCGAGCGUUAAUCGGAAUUACUGGGCGUAAAGCGUGCGUAGACGGUUAUUCAAGUCGCGUGUGAAAGCCCCCGGCUCAACUGGGGAGGGUCACGCGAUACUGAUCGACUCGAAGGCAGGAGAGGGUAGUGGAAUUCCCGGUGUAGUGGUGAAAUGCGUAGAGUAUCGGGAGGAACACCAGUGGCGAAGGCGACUACCUGGCCUGUUUCUUGACGCUGAGGCGCGAAAGCUAGGGAGCAAACGGG